rnacentral:lncRNA from 1 species
ACCAAUGUAUAUAAUUCUUCCAUCUGUACAAAAAUAUAUAAAUGUAUGGAUAUAGUAGAAUAUGUACCCUAAUCAAAAGAUGGAUCUAUUAUUUUAUACAAUAUAAAUUUUUUAAAAUCAAUACCUAAUUAAUUACUUAAAUUAACAUCCAAUUAUGGGAUGCCGUAGAAUAUGCACUCAACCCUUGCACAAGGACAGGCUGCCUUGGACAUCGGUU